AACGACUCCGGCUCUCGCCCCAGGCGCCGCCCCUCCUUCCCUGACCUCGGCUUCGUCAAUGCCGACUCCCCUCUCUCCUGCGGCAGCGGUCGCUACAGCUCCUGUCGCCAGUUUGCAUAUGGGAAGGAGGAGUCUCGUGUGCUCCGAACCAUGAUUCCAAGACAUUCUGAGGUGGAUUUUCGCAGCGGGCGGUCGGUGCAGGGUGCCAGUCCUAACAUGCAGCCAAGCCCCGGAAGCUACCACCAUCUCCUACCACCAUGGCUGCGGUCACCUGGCCCCCAUACUCCUGGCGCAGCAACCACCCCCAUCAGGACACCAUCCACUGCUUACUUCACGCCGCCGAG